rnacentral:rRNA from 1 species
AAAGAAACCAACAGGGAUUGCCCUAGUAACGGCGAGUGAAGCGGCAACAGCUCAAAUUUGAAAUCUGGCCCUCGGGUCCGAGUUGUAAUUUGUAGAGGAUGCUUUUGGUGAGGUACCUUCCGAGUUCCCUGGAACGGGACGCCAUAGAGGGUGAGAGCCCCGUCUGGUUGGAUACCGAUCCUCUGUAAAGCUCCUUCGACGAGUCGAGUAGUUUGGGAAUGCUGCUCUAAAUGGGAGGUAUAUGUCUUCUAAAGCUAAAUACCGGCCAGAGACCGAUAGCGCACAAGUAGAGUGAUCGAAAGAUGAAAAGCACUUUGAAAAGAGAGUUAAAAAGUACGUGAAAUUGUUGAAAGGGAAGCGCUUAUGACCAGACUUGGGCUUGGUUGAUCAUCCUGGGUUCUCCCUGGUGCACUCUUCCAGUUCAGACCAGCAUCAGUUCGCUGCGGGGGAUAAAAGUUUUGGGAAUGUGGCUCCCUCGGGAGUGUUAUAGCCCAUUGCAUAAUACCCUGCUCCGGACUGAGGUUCGCGCAUCUGCAAGGAUGCUGGCGUAAUGGUCAUCAGCGACCCGUCUUGAAACACGGACCAAGGAGUCGUCUUCGUAUGCGAGUGUUCGGGUGUUAAACCCCUACGCGUAAUGAAAGUGAACGCAGGUGAGAGCUUCGGCGCAUCAUCGACCGAUCCUGAUGUUCUCGGAUGGAUUUGAGUAAGAGCAUACGGGGCCGGACCCGAAAGAAGGUGAACUAUGCCUGUAUAGGGUGAAGCCAGAGGAAACUCUGGUGGAGGCUCGCAGCGGUUCUGACGUGCAAAUCGAUCGUCAAAUAUGGGCAUGGGGGCGAAAGACUAAUCGAACCUUCUAGUAGCUGGUU